rnacentral:rRNA from 1 species
UACGGAGGGUGCAAGCGUUAUCCGGAUUCACUGGGUUUAAAGGGUGCGUAGGUGGGUUGGUAAGUCAGUGGUGAAAUCUCCAGGCUUAACUUGGAAACUGCCAUUGAUACUAUCAAUCUUGAAUACCGUGGAGGUCAGCGGAAUAUGUCAUGUAGCGGUGAAAUGCUUAGAUAUGACAUAGAACACCAAUUGCGAAGGCAGCUGGCUACGCGGAUAUUGACACUGAUGCACGAAAGCGUGGGGAUCAAACAGGAUUAGAAUGACCCU